UACGUAGGGGGCGAGCGUUGUCCGGAUUUAUUGGGCGUAAAGAGCGUGUAGGCGGCCGAGCAGGUCCGUUGUGAAAACUGAAGGCUCAACCUUCAGAGGUCGAUGGAAACCGUUCGGCUAGAGUCCGGAAGAGGAGAGUGGAAUUCCUGGUGUAGCGGUGAAAUGCGCAGAUAUCAGGAAGAACACCCGUGGCGAAAGCGGCUCUCUGGGACGGUACUGACGCUGAGACGCGAAAGCGUGGGGAGCGAACAGG
rnacentral:rRNA from 1 species